GACAGAUUCCUAUUAAUCUGUGCAAACCCUUGUAAUUUCAUCAAGUCUAAAAGCCUUUUGGUAUCUUUACUCCAACAAUGGCGGCUACACACCUUGUCUCACACUCUCCAUCACUUCACAAGUCCCUCAAAUACCCAUCAAAUGCAUCACAAAAACUUUCUUUUUUCAAACCCAAUUUUCCGUUGAAGCCCAUUUCAAGAAACCUUAGCAUAAGGGCAUCUGUAUCAACUUCUGAGCCUCAAACUCAGAAAUUUCAGCAUUGUUUCAAGAAAUGUGAAGAUGGGUUUUUGUAUUGUGAGGGUGUUAAGGUUGAAGAUGUUAUGGAGACUGUCGAAAGACGACCCUUUUAUUUAUAUAGUAAGCCCCAAAUUACUAGGAACGUUGAGGCUUAUAAGGCCGCUUUAGAGGGCUUGGAUUCAAUUAUUGGUUACGCUAUUAAGGCCAACAAUAAUCUCAAGAUUUUGGAACAUUUGAGGAGCCUUGGUUGUGGAGCUGUUUUGGUUAGUGGGAAUGAACUCAAAUUGGCACUUGGUGCUGGAUUUGAUCCUACCAAGUGUAUUUUUAAUGGAAAUGGAAAGCUGUUAGAGGACCUAGUGCUAGCUGCCCAAGCAGGUGUGUUUGUAAACAUCGACAGUGAAUUUGACUUGGAUAACAUUGUAGCAGCUGCAAGACUGGCUGGGAAGAAAGUUAACGUGCUACUCAGGAUUAAUCCAGAUGUAGAUCCCCAGGUUCAUCCUUAUGUUGCCACUGGGAAUAAGAGCUCCAAAUUUGGCAUCAGAAAUGAGAAGCUGCAAUGGUUUCUAGAUGCUGUCAAGGCACAUCCUCAGGAAUUGAAACUUGUUGGAGCUCAUUGUCAUCUUGGGUCAACUAUCACCAAGGUAGACAUUUUUCGAGAUGCAGCUGCCUUGAUGGUGAACUACAUUGACGAAAUCCGAUCUCAAGGAUUUGAAAUUGAUUACCUGAAUAUUGGAGGUGGUUUAGGGAUUGAUUACUAUCAUGCUGGAGCUAUCCUUCCUUCACCUAGAGAUCUUAUUAAUACGGUACGAGAAUUAGUCCUUUCUCGAAACCUCAAUCUCAUUAUUGAACCUGGAAGAUCACUAAUUGCAAACACAUGCUGCUUGGUUAACAGAGUUACUGGAGUGAAAACCAAUGGGACCAAGAACUUUAUUGUGAUUGAUGGUAGUAUGGCUGAGCUUAUACGUCCAAGUCUUUAUGAUGCUUAUCAGAACUUUUGUGAAUGCGUACUCCAAAAAUCUUAUGCUUUGUUCUUGUUGGUGGUCAUAUUGUUCAACUUUUUGAAGUCGCCUACUGUUGCACAUAGAGCUUGUUUCCCCUCCACCUCCGGAAGCUGCAAUUGCUAAGUUUGAUGUUGUUGGUCCUGUAUGUGAGUCGGCUGAUUUCCUGGGGAAGGACCGUGAACUUCCCGCCCCUUCUAGGGGCACUGGUUUGGUAGUUCACGAUGCAGGUGCUUACUGCAUGAGUAUGGCAUCAACUUACAAUCUCAAAAUGCGCCCACCAGAGUACUGGGUGGAAGAAGAUGGAUCACUGUCCAAAAUCCGUCAUGGGGAGACAUUCGAAGACCAUUUAAGAUUGUUUGAAGGUCUGUAAACUUAUGGUUUCUUUUAAGCACUUAAACAUGACAGGAUGUGAGACUCAGAAAUUCCUCUGGUAGUUUGGUUCCUGUCAGUGUUGACAAUUCUGUAUUUGGAUUGUUCCAAUUAAUGGAUUUUCCCCAUGACUUUCCACCUU